rnacentral:rRNA from 1 species
UACAGAGGUCCCAAGCGUUGUUCGGAUUCAUUGGGCGUAAAGGGUGCGUAGGCGGCGCGGUAAGUCGGGUGUGAAAUCUCGGAGCUUAACUCCGAAACUGCAUUCGAUACUGCCGUGCUUGAGGACUGGAGAGGAGACUGGAAUUUACGGUGUAGCGGUGAAAUGCGUAGAUAUCAUAAGGAAGACCAGUGGCGAAGGCGGGUCUCUGGACAGUUCCUGACGCUGAUGCACGAAGGCCAGGGGAGCAAACGGG